CAGCAGCCGCGGGAAUACGUAGGGUGCGAACGUUAAUCGGAAUUACUGGGCGUAAAGCGUGCGCAGGCGGUUGUGUAAGACAGGUGUGAAAUCCCCGGGCUUAACCUGGGAACUGCGCUUGUGACAGCACAGCUAGAGUAUGGCAGAGGGGGGUGGAAUUCCACGUGUAGCAGUGAAAUGCGUAGAGAUGUGGAGGAACACCGAUGGCGAAGGCAGCCCCCUGGGCCAAUACUGACGCUCAUGCACGAAAGCGUGGGGAGCAAACAGGAUUAGAUACCCCUGUAGUCCCUGUCUCUUAUAC
rnacentral:rRNA from 1 species